CUUGUUUAUCUCUGUUAAGGCCAAGGAGAGGAGAAGGGUGUGCUAGGCUCCUCUCUGAAAGGUGAUAGGAGUCCACCCUUUUUUGCAGGGCACUGGAGUGCCAUGAGAGCUGUUCUCCUGGACUCUGCCCAGGGGCCUCAGCCUAAGAGCUCUACUGAGAAGUGAUUCCUCUGAGGACACUCCCCAUGCGUGUCUGAUGGCUCCAUACAAGUCAAAAGAAGACUCCUGAGGAGUGCUUGUCAUGUCUACACACCAGACAGGAAGAAGACAAGCUUCCCUCCAGCUGUGAGAGGGGUCUCUCGAGAGGCGUGGUCUCAGGUGGAGGAGGAGUUCCCAUGGAUCUGAGGCGCUCACUCCGGCUUCAUCUGCUCCUCACCAAUUACAGUUACAAAGACACUCCUCCUGAGGAAGACCACAUUUCCCAAGUAUCUGGAGUCAACAUUCAGACCACGGUUUGCUGAAGACAAGGAAAUGAAUGCCAAAUGUUCAAUGACCUCACUGAGCUCUUCUGAAGGGCCCUGGCUCACCUGCGGGGCCCUGGCUACCAGCAAUGUCUGGGCUUCUUUAUAGUAGUCCUGGUUAGACCCCUGCUGUCUCUGGUCCCUCUCCACAACCACUGCUUCUCUGUGACACUGGAGUGGGCAUCCGUUUGCAAAGCCUGACAAGGCUGUCAAUAGGUCAGGCAUCAAAUGGUUCUCAAAGCAAUUAUCCUGAAUAUUCCAUCCUCCGCCACAUACCUGCGCCUGCGUGGCUACUCACCAACAAAACUACCACGUGACUCUACCAGCCAGAGGGGCCUGUGGAUCCAGUGACCAACUGAUGAAAUCCAGGGAAGCAGCAUGGGGGAGAAUUAUUUAUUUUAUGUAUGAGUACACUGUCACUGCCUUCAGACGCACCAGAAGAGGGCCUCAGAUCCCAUCACAGAUGGUUGUGAGCCACCAUGUGGUUGCCGGGAAUUGAACUCAGGACCUCUGGAAGAGCAGCCAGUGCUCUUGACCUCUGAGCCAUCUCUCCAGCCCCUUUCUUUUCUUUUCAAGACAGACUUUCUCUGUGUAACAGCCUUGGCUGCCUGGAACUCUCUUGUAGACCAGGCUGGCCUCACACAGAUCCUCAUGCCUCUGCCUCCCAGGUGUUGGGAUCAAAGGCGUGCCCACCGAGGGCAGCUUGAAACUCUUCAUUUUCAUUAUACUAAAAGUAUGCACAACUUUUUUCAUUUUUGAAAGUUAAUUUUUGCUGCAUAUGGAAUUCUUGACUGCCUGUUAUUUUUUUCCCCCUCCAUAUUUUAAGAAGGUUACCUCAUGCCACUUUGCUGUCUGAUCGGAAACCAAUUGCUUACCUCAUUGAUGAAGGAGUUACUUCUACCUCGCUCCCUUAAGUUUCUCUGGGUUUGGUCUUCAUUGGGGUGAGAAGACGCAUUUGCUGGCUAUUGCCUUUGUUGCAACAGUCCUUGAAUUUAUCCUAUUUGGAGUUGAGCUUCUUGGAUAUGCGGUUAGUGUAUUCUAACAAACUCGAGGGUUUCUCUCCAUUGCCACUCCCAAUAACUUCCCUGCUACUGUCUUCUAUUUGGGGACCCUUACUCUGCUCAUGUUGUGUUUAAAGGUGCAUCGUGGUUUUGGAGACUCUGUUCAUCAAACCUUUGUCUGCUUGCUUGUAAAGUCUGUUUCUCCAAACAAGGUUUCUCUGUGUAACAGCCCUGGCUCUCCUGGAUCGGGAGUUGUGGACCCAGCUGGCCUUGAACUCACAGAGCCUCUGCCUCUGCCUCCUGAGUGCUGGGAUGAAAGGCAUUUGCCACCAUUCCCAGUGUAAUUUUUCUGUUUCUUAUACUGGAUAUUCCAGUGUCUUUCCUGCCAAGUCCACACUACGGGUUAACUCAAAAGGUGCAGCAGGGGUUUCCUCUAACCGAGGGCGCCAAAUCAAGCUAGAAAGGAGCCAAGUGGGAUUCGCUGGACAAACCCAAGCCUUUCUCAGAGGCACUUACACGGUUUGGUAACUUACCCUUGUACCAACAACACAAGGAGAAACAUUUCCUAUCAGGUGUGUCUCCAGCAAGGGAUGGGACGGGGUAGCAUUUAUAUGAAGGCUUCGGAACCUGACUAGGGACAGAGGUGGUCCUUUCAGUGUCCUGGCCAAUGGCUUGAAUAAUUGUCAGUGCCUGGAAAUGUUCAAGGUCCAGGCUUGGCCCCAAACCUGCUAAGAAAAGGCUACAGACACCCAUUUGCAGACAGCUCAAGGCACGGUGAUUUUUCAGUCAGGAAACAAGAGAGACGGAGGGUGUGGAACACGGACAAGGGAAAAGGCUUAUUUCACUUACACCCACACCAUAAUCCAUCAUCAAAGGAAGUCAGGGCAGGAGCUUAAGCAGGCCAAGAAUCUGGAGGCAGGAACUGACACAGAGGCCAUAGAGGAAUGCUGCUUGCUGACUUGCCCCUCAUGACUUGCUCAGCCUGCUUUCUUAUCUUUUGGGUUAUGAGCUUUUAAUGGCUGAGCCUGCUUUCUUGCAACAUCAGGAUCAUCAGCUAAUUGAUGACACCACCUACAGUGAGCUGGGCCCUCCCACAUCAAUCAUCAAUCAAGACAAUGCCCUACAGGCAUUGCCUACAAGCCAAUUCUAUGGAGGCAUUUUGCUCAGUUAGGACUUCUUCUUCCCAUAGGACCCUAGAUUAUGUCAAGUUGACAUAAAAACUAGCUAGCAUUCUGGGUGAUUGUGUAGUAAGAUCUUGUUCCGAAAAAAAGAAAAAGGGAAAACUA